UGAAGAGAUUAAGCGUCUCAGGACAACAGGAAAAGCUUUAAACUUCACUGCUAAAUAUCUUGAAACCCUAGAUAUCUAGGAAGAUUUGCAAGCCAAUCUGCUGCAAACGAAAUUGACAGUGAUUUAAAACGGCCCGAGAAAAACGCGAUCAAAGGCGAAAAAAACGUGUACAAAAAAUCCAACGGAUGGCCGCAUUGCAAUCUCUUUCCAUACAUGUGGUUCGUGGAUUCAAAAGCCUGAAACUAAACUAGCCGUUGUGUGUUCUAGAAUGUUUGCAAUAGUUGGCAAAUUCAAAUUUCAAAUUUCAUGGAGCGUGCAAAAGUAUGAUUAUAUAUAACCCUCAGCAUUUGCAGACCAGAGGAUGAAGAGGCAAAGCAUAGGAAAAAGCAGGGAUCAGGAAAUAGAAAUUGAAUGAGGGCAAACUUCUUUUUGCAGUUGAUCACGGCACUCACUGGCAAUGGAUUCAUGGGUAGGUCCAUUUCUAAGAGGAAGCCUUGCUAAGCAGGGAAAAAGUUUUUGGGUUGGGACGUCUUAAUUCUAGAGAAGCUGCAGUCAUUGAAGUUGACGUGUUUGGUGACAUUGACAUGAAUGAUUAAAAAUGGGACCUGGCAUGGGACACAAAAUCCGGUGGGAGUUCAUAGAACCGAUGCAGAGAAGAAGAGAUGGGAAGCUCAUAUGUUUGAUCUUAGACAACCUUCUUGCAUCCUCUUCACUCCAUGGAUUGGUUUUAUUGGGGGUUCACUGACCUCAUAACACAUACAGCUGCAACACCCUAUUGGGCUUCUGGGAUACGAUUUUUCUUGGUUUCAGGCUAGCAGAUUUUGUAAAGUAGAGAACGAAAUAUGUGUAAUACAGAGAAGCUACAGUCAUUGAAGUUUACGAGGUUGACAUGAAUGAUUAAAAUUGAACCUGGGUGGCAUAUAGCAAGCUCACAUGAAUGGGUGGCAACAUGUUGCAGCCAAAAAAAUUGCAGUUUGAUAAGAAGGAUCUUGAGUAGCUUUUUGAAUUAGUUGUUUUUCAUGAUGGUGUAUACAAAAUAGCAAGAGAUGGAACUAGGCUUGCAUCAUUUCUUUAGUUAUGUUUUGGUCAAGCAUAUUGACUUGAUAGCAUUGUAACAUGUACAAAUAUAAUGUUUAAUAAAAAAAGUUAUUGGAUUGGAAGGGGUUAAAAACUCCUUCCAAAGACCGAA